UUUUUACUUAAAAAGGCAAAUAUUUUAAUAGCUUCAUUACCUGUCAAUUAUAAUUGUGCAAAAAAAAAAAAAAAAAGUUGGUGCUUCAACCUCUCUGCUAACUGAAUGCCUCUAAGACGUGGAGAGGAAAAAAAAAGUUCAAGUACGCUGAAUGCAACUUUGCAAUGAAAUCAACAACAAAAGAAACUCAACGGAAACGGGAACAAAAUGUCACACGGAUGCCCCGCUGUCUGUCUUUGCACCAGCAAUCAUGUUUCUUUCCAUGUCCAAAGGGGAAGUACAGAGGUGGGAAUUAAGAUCCUUGUGUGCCAUCAAAAUGGUUACAGAUCUCUGCUUUUAGGAAUGUUGUCAUAGGGAUUUUCGCGGAAGGGGAUGUGUCUUUUGAGUCCCCGGAGGGGAACCCAGAGAGUGUCGGAUACAGGACAGCAACCUGACUC
rnacentral:lncRNA from 1 species